AUUGAACGCUGGCGGCAUGCCUUACACAUGCGAGUCGAACGGCAGCACGGGAGCAAUCCUGGUGGCGAGUGGCGAACGGGUGAGUAAUACAUCGGAACGUGCCCAGUAGUGGGGGAUAACCCGGCGAAAGCCGGACUAAUACCGCAUACGACCUACGGGUGAAAGCAGGGGAUCGCAAGACCUUGCGCUAUCGGAGCGGCCGAUGUCAGAUUAGCUAGUUGGNGGGGUAAAAGCCUACCAAGGCGACGAUCUGUAGCUGGUCUGAGAGGACGACCAGCCACACUGGGACUGAGACACGGCCCAGACUCCUACGGGAGGCAGCAGUGGGGAAUUUUGGACAAUGGGCGCAAGCCUGAUCCAGCCAUGCCGCGUGCGGGAAGAAGGCCU
rnacentral:rRNA from 1 species